rnacentral:tRNA from 1 species
UGGCGCAGUGGUUAAGAGCUUGGCUGCCAACCAAAAGGACGGUGGUUCAAAUCCACC